AAAACUUAAAAUAAAAAAUUACAUGACAAUGAAAAAUAAAUUAUAACUAAGAAAAAUAUAAAGGAAAAUUUAGCGAAGAGGUUUUGCUACGACAAUUGAGAACUUAAAAGAAAAACUAAGAGAAAUUUGAGGGAGAGAAGGGAAAGGACCUCUAGAGAGAUGUUUGAGAGCUUCUCCCCUUGGGAUGUGUUUGUAAGCUUGGAGAACCUCACAAUUUAUAGGCUUAAGGGAAGAAAAAAAUCUUAUUUGAGUAUUGCCUCUACCUAUAACACCCACUUCACCAACUUUACCGAACUUCCCCACCAAAAACAAUUAGUUCAUGCAUAUGUCAUGCAUGACAAUGCACCGCAGUCUGCUUGUAGGCAUAUUUUGGGCUCGUUCCUCCCCUCAAUAAAUUCUGUAAAAAUAUGGACCUUCAAGCACUUUGUCUUAGCUUUCCAACCAUAUGUAGCC
rnacentral:lncRNA from 1 species